rnacentral:rRNA from 1 species
GACGAACGCUGGCGGCGUGCCUAACACAUGCAAGUCGAACGGAGAAUUUUAUUUCGGUAGAAUUCUUAGUGGCGAACGGGUGAGUAACGCGUAGGCAACCUACCCUUUAGACGGGGACAACAUUCCGAAAGGAGUGCUAAUACCGGAUGUGAUCAUCGUGCCGCAUGGCAGGAUGAAGAAAGAUGGCCUCUACAAGUAAGCUAUCGCUAAAGGAUGGGCCUGCGUCUGAUUAGCUAGUUGGUAGUGUAACGGACUACCAAGGCGAUGAUCAGUAGCCGGUCUGAGAGGAUGAACGGCCACAUUGGGACUGAGACACGGCCCAAACUCCUACGGGAGGCAGCAGUGGGGAAUCUUCCGCAAUGGACGAAAGUCUGACGGAGCAACGCCGCGUGAGUGAUGAAGGAUUUCGGUCUGUAAAGCUCUGUUGUUUAUGACGAACGUGCAGUGUGUGAACAAUGCAUUGCAAUGACGGUAGUAAACGAGGAAGCCACGGCUAACUACGUGCCAGCAGCCGCGGUAAUACGUAGGUGGCGAGCGUUGUCCGGAAUUAUUGGGCGUAAAGAGCAUGUAGGCGGCUUAAUAAGUCGAGCGUGAAAAUGCGGGGCUCAACCCCGUAUGGCGCUGGAAACUGUUAGGCUUGAGUGCAGGAGAGGAAAGGGGAAUUCCCAGUGUAGCGGUGAAAUGCGUAGAUAUUGGGAGGAACACCAGUGGCCCAGGCGCCUUUCUGGACUGUGUCUGACGCUGAGAUGCGAAAGCCAGGGUAGCGAACGAGAUUAGAUACCCCGGUAGUCCUGGCCGUAA